AAGGCAAAAUCCUGGCCUUUCCGAGGGGGUUGGUGCUGCCUUGCCAUUCCUGUGAAACUCAGUAGAGAGAGAAGACCAGGGGAGGGGGAGAGGGAGGGGGAGGGGCUGCUCCUUGGGUUCUUGAUUCGUUGCAAGAUUGGCUGCAAUCAUAAUCCUCAUCAUCACCAAGCAUGGCAUUAGCAGAUGGAGAGGCGACUUCUUCGUGGGAUAGUGACGAUGAGUACCAGAAGUUCAUCCAAAAGAUGAACCCUCCAAGGGUCACAAUCGACAACACAUCAUGCGCAAAUGCUACAGUUAUUCAUGUGGACAGCGCUAACAAGUAUGGGAUACUGUUGGAGGUAGUGCAGGUCCUCACUGACCUCAAACUCAUAGUCAAGAAAGCCUACAUAUCCUCGGAUGGCGGAUGGUUCAUGGACGUGUUCAAUGUGACGAAUCAAAGUGGGCAGAAGAUAACGGACGAAUCUGUGCUGGAAGGGAUAAAAGAUUACAUUCACAAGUCUAUCGGUCCUGAUUCUUGCUUUCUUCCUUCACGGAAGAGAGCUGUGGGAGUGGAGCCUUCAUCCAACUACACCUUGAUAGAGCUAACUGGGACUGACAGACCUGGUCUUCUCUCCGAAGUGAGCGCCGUGCUCACAAAUCUUGAGUGUAAUGUGGUGAAUGCAGAGGUGUGGACACAUAACAAACGAGCAGCAGCAGUCAUGCAGGUCACCGAUAGGAAGUCCGGGUUGGCAAUCUCAGAUGCAGAAAGGCUCGGCAGAAUCAAGGAGUGGCUUUGCAAUGUGUUCAAGGGGAGUAACAGGAGCCAAGACGCCAGGACAACAGUUGCAAUGGGUAUAACCCACACAGAGCGGAGGCUGCACCAAAUGAUGCUUGAGGAUCGAGAUUAUGAAAGGUACGAAAAGGAUAGGGCGAAUGUCAACCCCAAGCCAAUGGUCUCCGUCGUUAAUUGGCUUCAGAAGGAUUAUUCUGUGGUGACUAUUCGGUGCAAGGAUCGACCAAAGCUUCUCUUCGACACAGUUUGCACUCUGACAGAUAUGCAAUAUGUGGUUUUCCAUGGGAGUGUGGAUACUGAGGGUUCCAAAGCUUACCAGGAGUAUUACAUUAGGCACAUUGAUGGGUCACCUGUCAACUCUGAGGCCGAGAGGCAGCGAAUCAUCCAAUGCCUUGAAGCAGCUAUAGAACGGAGAGUAUCCGAGGGCCUGAAGUUAGAGCUGUCAACCGGCGAUCGAGUGGGGCUGUUGUCAGAUGUAACACGCAUCUUCCGUGAGAAUGGCUUGACGGUCACAAGAGCUGAAGUGACAACUAGGGGUGACAAAGCUGUCAACACUUUCUAUGUCCGUGAUGCAGCUGGGAGCUCGGUCGAUCUGAAGACGCUAGAAGCCAUACGCCAGGAAAUAGGUCAGACAGUUCUUCAAGUAAAAGGGCACCCUGAUCACCCAAAAUCACCACCACAAGAAUCACCUACUAGGUUUCUCUUCAGUAGUCUCUUCAGAUCAAGAUCACUCUGUAACCUAGGGUCGAUCAGGUCCUGAGUUUUUUCGCCUUUGGUCAAUCUACAAUUAUACGAGCGUAGCAACUGAACAAUCCAUCACAGUGCUUGCAGUCGUGGGUUCAUGAAUUCAGAUGAAGCAAGAUGCUGUUGUACCAUGUUUACAGUGCAAGCAUUCAUCAUAUGAAGACGAGUCAUAUGAAGCCUGAGCAACCCAACCGGCAUGCACAGAAUCAACAACAGUGGGUGAAUACAGUAGUUCAGUAGCAGUAGCCACCAUUGUACAUCCAUCCCCAUUUUUAGCAUAGAGAUGUAAAUAUCCCCAGCCCUGUCAACAUGUUUGCGCUGAUGGCAAGUACCGAUACUAUGCAGCUGCUGAUCUUCAAGCUGCGGAUGUCAUCGUUGAAUGCUAAUUCACAGGACAUGAAGUAGGAUUACAGCAUGCUGUCAUCGGAUGGACAGUGAAGGGGAGGUGGUUGGUGUCAGUGGCAUUGCCCCUUGAGAUAUUCGUAAGGUGGUGGGUGUGAUAUGACGAUGGCAUCAUCGACGGCAUACUCGUCCAAGGAAUCAGGGCCGACGGCGACUGGAUUGUCAUUUGUGCCGGGCGCACAUGUCGAAAAUGGCCGCCAGCUCGGCAGGGCCUACCAUGGCUGCAAGUUGGUGCUUGGGUUUUUGGAUGUGGAGUCCUCUCUCACCCUGCACUAGCGAGGGUGGUCGGAUGAAUCAUGGCCUCAUGGCAGGCAGAGCAGAGGCGUCUAGGUAUCGUCUUGUGGUGCCGCCAAGUAGCCGUGGCAUUUUGAUUUGAAGAUCUUGCGCCACAUUACCACCAGAAUCUCUCGCAAACACAGAGGCAAGUUGGUCGGGGCCCUACAUGCUACAGGCAGGGCCGCAGGGACCAGCUAAGUUCUUACCUACAGAUAUUUCUGCCGUUGAGGUAAAUAAGUUCUGGAAUCAUUUGUGCCGACUUAUCUUGCUGCCUUGGUCUUCUGGUUUUACAGUACUUUCAGCAAGUUUUUACAAUCAUGCCACAUGCAUGUCAGUGACUCGGUAUUUAUUCAUCCCAGUUCAAAGUAAGUACAGCUGAAGCAACUAAUUGCCAUCAUUUCUCAACCCCAAUCGUCUCUGAAAGUGUGAGCUGUGAUCAUCUGCACCGAGUUGCAGACUUGCAGCGACUUUUCAGUGAGACCUCAGAUCUUGCUACUGUCAGGGGCACACAGAACUGCCAGUCAUCCUGCGAGAAAUGCCAGGUAUGAGCUGGAACAGUCAGUUGCUACCACAUGUCAGAGCUGGAGGAGGGUCUUCACACUUCAAGAUUGUGCAUCGAGAACUAAUUACGCCCAUUUUUCAGAGGAAUAUUCUUCCGUUGCGCUUCAGGAUAUGUUUAGGAAAUGGAUCGUACAAUAAUCGCACGAUAUGUAGUUAUCCGAUUUUACGGGUCGGGAUUCGCAAACUACGACAACGGGUGAAAUUUUUGAACUCAUCAUUCAGUCAUUAGCUGAAAGUUUAAGCAAGCUCCACCAUGUGCCAUAUUUUCUGUCAUGCAAGAGAAUAGCUGAUCUUUUCAUAGAGUGGGGAACUUAAAAGGCAACCAGAAAGGGUUGGUGGGCAUGCAUCUAUCUUGAGGGACUGUAGCAGUUACUGAAGAAACCAAGUGGACUCCAUCCAACCAAAAAAGUUGUCUUGAGAUUAUCAGAUUCAGGGGGCAGCAAUGUGUUGUGUCCCAUAGCUUCUGUACUAUGUAGGUUGUAGGACAGUCGCAGCCUCACAAGGCUCCUCUCUGCACAAACAUUUCAUCUGCCCCUUGCAAAGUGAUACAUGACCUUUAAUUUUUUUGGGCACUGAGCACAUGUUGUACUGU